CGCACGUGGUCACAAUACUACAGUAAACAAUAUGUUCGCACGAAUGAUGCCUGUUCAAGGGAUACACGCCAAAUAGUGACGAAUACGCAGGAAGCUGACCUGAGCUCCCACUGUUUUAUGCAGCGAGAAAAAGAACCGUCGUUCGAUUGACUGCGAGCCGUUCGCCUGUUGUUCGCGUGAUGCUCGAUGUUCACAAUGUUUGUCAACACUUGCUUACAGAGCUUCAAAAGAUCAAAGAAGCCGCUUUUACAGAGGAAUAAAACAGUGAGAACAGUGGAGAUUAGAAGGAACAGGAUUAAUGCCAGGGUUGAGUUCAUGGUCACACUGGAUGGACACCAGGGCCGCAUCCCAAAUGGCUCCUUAAAAUCAUCUCCUCUAAACAGAGGAUAGAACUGGUGACCAGUUGUGAAGCCUUUCUGUGAUCCACCCUGAUGCUGCUCGGUUCUGCUCUGGGUUCGGUUUUGUUUUGGACUCGGUUCUGCUCUGGGUUCGGUUUUUUUCUGGACUCGGUUGUGCUCUGGGGUCGGUUCUGUUCUGGACUCGGUUCUGUUCUGGGUUCGGUUCUGGACUCGGUUCUGUGCGCUGCAGGGAAGCUGAAACACUUACCGAUAAAAG